rnacentral:rRNA from 1 species
GGUAACGCUGGCGGCAUGCCUACACGAUGCAAGUUGAACGAGCUUAAUCCAUUAAGCUAAGUAGCGGACGGGUAGAGUACGCGCGUAUAACCUACCUGUUAGGAGAGGAAUAACUAUUGGAAACGAUAGCUAAUACCUCAUAAACUGUGGAGUAAAAGGUGCAAAGCCGCCUAAAGAAUGUGGCUUGCUGUCUGAUUAGCUUGUUGGAUAAUUUAACACAGGUUACCAAGGGCAACGAUCAGUAGUUGGUCUAAGAGGAUGAUCAACCACACUGGUGACUAGAGACACGGCCAGAACUCUACGGAGUGGCCAGUCAGGUGAAGUGAAUCUUCCGCGAAUCGGAGACGAAUAGCCCUGACGCGAGUCAAAUGCCUGCAGUGGAGGAUGACGUGCUUGUGAGUCGUACAACCUCCUUUUCUGUG